AUGUUGGGUUAUCGAGCUGAUCGUCUUGACGCAAAGCACGCACUCCCUGACAAACUUAAUGUCGCCAAACACAAGAAACUUGUCCCAAAAAUCAGAAAAGUCCAAGAUUUAUUAGGAAACAGCUUAACUGGAGUUGAUUUGAUCCGCUGUUGGAUCGCAUGGCGGGUCAUCCCUCUGAGCUGCCGAUCCGGUUUGAUGUGUAACUACACCGGAGGAACAGAUGAUCCAUUACGUCAUAGUUCCUUGCGUCUGACUGAAGAAGCCAUUAUGGAAAUGGCAACCACUCUUAUCAAUAGCAAGUAUGAAGACUGCAACAUAGUAGGGUUGAAUUCUUUCUGCAAGCUUAACCCGACACCAAAGGCUAAAUCUGACUUUUGGAAAGUCAAGUAUGAUCAUGAGGCUGCCAAGAAAGCUAGAGCUGCUGCGAUAGCCGCCAAGCAAACCGUCAGAAAAUCGAAGAAGAAGCCAACCGCCUCUGAGUUACUCAAGCUGGAUGACACCUCUGAGUCGGAGGUAGCCCUUGACUCUCUUGGUCUGCUUUUUAACCACCUUAUUGAUACUGACUAUUGCCAGGAUGACAUGGGGGCCAGCCAGGCAGUUGAAGAAGAGGUAAAUAUUAAUUCCUCCAACUCAGAACCUUUACUAAGGCAGACACUUCGGCGGGUAACCCGGAAAGUAAGGUUUUCACACCCCUUGGCUUAUUUAGAUCCUCAUUUUCUUUUGAAACGACAGCAACAUGAGAGCCGCCGGCAGACCCAGACCGGUGGAGAUGACGAUUUACCUUCCGGCUUACCAACACUACACAAAAAUACACUUCCGUGA
rnacentral:rRNA from 1 species